rnacentral:rRNA from 1 species
UACGGGGGGUGCGAGCGUUGUCCGGAAUCACUGGGCGUAAAGGGCGCGUAGGGGGCUCUGUAAGUUUGCGGUGAGAGCCCGGGGCUCAACCCCGGGUCUGCCGUGGAUACUGCAAGGCUUGAGUACUGUAGAGGCAGGUGGAAUGUCGGGUGUAGCGGUGGAAUGCGUAGAGAUCCGAUAGAAGACCGGUGGCGAAGGCGGCCUGCUGGGCAGUAACUGACACUGAGGCGCGAAAGCGUGGGGAGCAAACAGG